rnacentral:rRNA from 1 species
UGGGGAAUUUUGGACAAUGGGGGAAACCCUGAUCCAGCCAUCCCGCGUGUGCGAUGAAGGCCUUCGGGUUGUAAAGCACUUUUGGCAGGAAAGAAACGUCAUGGGUUAAUACCCCGUGAAACUGACGGUACCUGCAGAAUAAGCACCGGCUAACUACGUGCCAGCAGCCGCGGUAAUACGUAGGGUGCAAGUGUUAAUCGGAAUUACUGGGCGUAAAGCGUGCGCAGGCGGUUCGGAAAGAAAGAUGUGAAAUCCCAGAGCUCAACUUUGGAACUGCAUUUUUAACUACCGUGCUAGAGUGUGUCAGAGGGAGGUGGAAUUCCGCGUGUAGCAGUAAAAUGCGUAGAUAUGCGGAGGAACACCGAUGGCGAAGGCAGCCUCCUGGGAUAACACUGACGCUCAUGCACGAAAGCGUGGGGAGCAAACAGG